GGCUAGUGUCCCCACAGUGGGAGGACAAAGGCCCUAGCUCCAGGCUCAGCACUAGCCCAGUAAGACCAAGCUAGGAGAAGAGCGAGGUGAAGAAUAGAAAAAGAAUUCUAAUCAGCAAGGGCCAUAAAAUGGUUCAAGAGCUGUCUGUGAGGUACAGACAAAAGCUUUGGGGAGUUACAGAGAAAAGGGAACAGAAGUAAGGGUUGGGGUUUGCAGAGCUGACAGUGUGGGUAAUCCAUGGUCUGACUGACCAGUAUCUCAGGAUUGGUCCUCUGAUGUUCUAGGGGAGCUGUUGUCAUCGUCUCUUGAGGGGACAACUUGGUCCCCAUCACAUGAUGUCUCCUGAUUUGUGGGGCAGCCUUGGCUCCAAUCAUGGGGUAACUGCCCCCCUUUGGGGGUGACCUCACCAUGGAUGAUCUCCGAGGUUCUGCUUUUCCUGGACACCAAGGUGAUGGAAGGUUUAGGACACUAACCAGAGACUUCUAGGCACCAUUCCAAGGAGUCUAGAACAGGGUGGGUUUUGUUGCUUUGUUUUGUUGGUACCGGGAAUUGAACUCAAGGCCUUGCACUUGCCAGGCAGGUGCUGCACCACUGAGCUACAUCCCUGGCCCAAGAACAGGGUGUUGUAAAAGCUGGCAAUUAACUGUGCCUGAGGAUUAGUUAAUCCUGGUGUCCUCAGUUCUGAAAGGUAAUGAGAUAGGCUAUGUAAAUUUGGGGCUAGUGGACCUAGUAAUACAAAAAUACACUCCUUACACACAGAGCUGAGCGGGGAUCCGACCCAAAGUUUUAAGGUGAAACAAAUGCCACCUCCUAAAGAAUCAGAGAUGCCAAGCAUCAUCCUGUUCUCAGUUCCCCAGUGGGCAUCGGCAGGCCCAGCCACCAGGCCCUGUUACACCAGGAGAUCGUGAGAAUGGGAAGCCCCCGCUGUGGACCUGAGCUCCUGCACAACAGGCCGUCUUUCAGGCAGCAGGACCUCAAUGCACCAGGGAAAUCACGGGAAACUCUGAGUAGCAGGACUGGGCGUUUAAAAAUUUCAGUACCUAUACAGGCUCCUCAGAGGAAAAACCACAAAACCCGUGCGACAGCAAGCAGCCUGCCUGGGCUGGGAUUUAGGCUGCCGAGGCUGAGUAAACCAGGGUCUGUGGGCCUUGAGAAGAUGUCAGAACCACUAGACUACGCGGCUGUUCCCCUCCCUCUUCAUGUCCCAGGAGGCUGCAGACCCACAUCCGUCUUGGAGCCCAUGUUCCACACACCACCCAGGAGUGCUGAAAGAAGCAGUGGCUUUCUUCUGGGAAGCUGCACCACCCUCAUUUCCCAACCCUGGACCAUGCUCACUCAAAAGUUCCCAGGUUACUCUCUACCACCCUCGCUUGGGCUCUGGUUCGUGGUAGCCCUCGCUCUUCCGGUCUCCACCAUCCUCUUCCCAGGGCCUCACACUGGAGAGGUGAGAAGUCAGUACCAAGUAGCCGGCCACUUUCUCCCCUCCAACCUGAGCCAGACUGUGCCUUGAAGAUGACUCUGUUUUGUCAACUGUACAAACUCCUGCCAACUUGUCUCAGAAUUUUUUGUGUCCUUUCUAGUGGUAAAUCUGCCUUCAAACAAAAGGAUGGUAAUCAUCCAGAACCACAUUUCAGAAAAGUUUACUUAGCCUGGUGUAGUGGUGCACACCUGUAAUCCCAGCACUCAGGAGACUGAGGCAGACUCAUCACUGUGAGUUCAAGGCCAGGCUGAACUACAUAGGGAGAUCCUGUUUUUAAAAAAAUCAAGCAAGUUCUUUCUUUCGAUUAAAGAAAUCAGAAUCACAACAAUCUGAAGACCAGAAAUUCCUUCAGAAUCUCAACAAGUCCCCAUAUGCCAUCUGUCUCUCUGUCCAUCUCCAAAUCAACAUUUCCUUUGACUACACAAUUAGCCGGAAUAAAAUACUGUCUCUAUUUUGUAUUUAUUGUUUUACUCUGCUUUAAUUAGUUACUAAUACUCUGGGAGCAUUGAGACCUGUUCUUUUUCAUUGUGACACAGCAGUAUUUCAGCUAAAUUCACGAUUGUGUGCCGGCGUGGGAACCAAUCUACCAUUCCUAGGAAAACAGCUCACCUUCCAAAGAGCUGACUUCCAAAGUCCAGAACAUGAUCU
ensembl:lincRNA